UCCAGGAUGGCCGAGUGGUUAUGGCUCUAGACUUGUGAUCUGGCAAACGCGGGUUCGAAUCCCGCUCCUGGAG